rnacentral:rRNA from 1 species
CAGCCGCCGCGGUAAUACGUAUGUCCCGAGCGUUGUCCGGAUUUAUUGGGCGUAAAGCGAGCGCAGGCGGUUAGAUAAGUCUGAAGUUAAAGACUGUGGCUUAACCAUAGUACACUUUGGAAACUGUUUAACUUGAGUGCAAGACGGGAGAGUGGAAUUCCAUGUGUAGCGGUGAAAUGCGUAGAUAUAUGGAGGAACGCCGGUGGCGAAAGCGGCUCUCUGGCUUGUAACUGACGCUGAGGCUCGAAAGCGUGGGGAGCAAACAGGAUUAGAUACCCCAGUAGUCCCUGUCUCUUAUACA